rnacentral:rRNA from 1 species
AGCGAACGCUGGCGGCAGGCUUAACACAUGCAAGUCGAACGGGCGUAGCAAUACGUCAGUGGCAGACGGGUGAGUAACGCGUGGGAACGUACCUUUUGGUUCGGAACAACACAGGGAAACUUGUGCUAAUACCGGAUAAGCCCUUACGGGGAAAGAUUUAUCGCCAAAAGAUCGGCCCGCGUCUGAUUAGCUAGUUGGUGAGGUAACGGCUCACCAAGGCGACGAUCAGUAGCUGGUCUGAGAGGAUGAUCAGCCACAUUGGGACUGAGACACGGCCCAAACUCCUACGGGAGGCAGCAGUGGGGAAUAUUGGACAAUGGGCGAAAGCCUGAUCCAGCCAUGCCGCGUGAGUGAUGAAGGCCCUAGGGUUGUAAAGCUCUUUUGUGCGGGAAGAUAAUGACGGUACCGCAAGAAUAAGCCCCGGCUAACUUCGUGCCAGCCGCCGCCGUAAG